rnacentral:misc_RNA from 1 species
CAACCAUCAAGCCCCGGGCUUGUGUUGGGGACCUGCGGCUGCCGCAGGCCCUGAAAUGCAGUGGCGGGCUCGCUGUCACACCGAGCGUAGUAGCAUUAUCUCGCUCUGGGCGUGCUGCGUGUCCCGGCCGUAAAACGACCUUACACCCAA